rnacentral:rRNA from 1 species
GAUGAACGCUGGCGGCGUGCCUAACACAUGCAAGUCGAGCGAAGUUAGGGGAGCUUGCUUCCCGAAGCUUAGCGGCGGACGGGUGAGUAACGCGUGAGCAACCUGCCCCAUACAGGGGAAUAACAACGAGAAAUCGUUGCUAAUACCGCAUAAGCUCACGAGGCAGCAUUGUCUUGUGAGAAAAGAUUUAUCGGUAUGGGAGGGGCUCGCGUCUGAUUAGGUAGUUGGUGGGGUAACGGCCUACCAAGCCGACGAUCGGUAGCCGACCUGAGAGGGUGAUCGGCCACAUUGGAACUGAGACACGGUCCAAACUCC